GCCAGAAGCACUGUCAGCGGCAGGGAUUCGGCCAAUGCAAUGGGCGGCGGCCUUCCAGCCGGCCAAUGACGCUUGGCAGGGAUUAGGCUGGCCAGGUCUCAUUAUACACUCCAGGCUAACUUUGACCUUGCUAUGCAGUCCUCAAAUUUGCAUUCUUUCUGCCUCAGCAUGACUCUUAUUCUAAGAACAUGGGCCCUCAGGUGCCCACCAUGGUGUUGGGUCCUGAACAGAAGAUGGCAGGUGUUGCUCUGGGUCCUUCUUUUGGCCACCAUUGUAGGGCUGCUGCUCCAGCGCCUUGCAGCUAGACUGGGAGUGGUCACCGGGCUGCACCUUGCUGAAGUUUGUCACCGUCAGUAUCCCAAGAUCAGUUGUCCUUCCAGCCCCAGUGCCUGAGAGUGCUCUAGUCACUUUGUCACUGGCCCCAAUAUGGAGAAUGUGCAAUGCUUUCAGUGGGUGUGGAGUUCUUAACGGCUUAAUAAACUAGGAUUUAGGGGAACUUGCCACAACUGGUCAAGAAAUGACUCCUGCUAUCUUUCUCUAAUCUAGACAGAUAAAAUGUAAUGAUAAGCAGGAACUUCGAGAAGCCAAUAAAUACUUUUUCAUUGAA